GCUGCUCGUAGUGAGGCUGCUGAAGUUUGACUAACACAUAAACAUGGGUCUCAAUGAGCCCUUGUAGUGGAUGUUGGUGAUAGUUGGUCCACUGUAGGAGUGAGGUGUGCAUCAAGAUAGAAUCUAUCGACCUUGAUAGAGAGGAGUGGUCCUAUAAAAUUUGAAAGGCUAAGUCCAAAAAUCUAUGGCCAUAGUAGUGUGAUUGAUGAAAAAGAGUUUUCAUAGA
rnacentral:lncRNA from 1 species